GGGGUGGGAAGCAGCUGCCCCUGAAACAGGUUAAGAUACUAGCAGGUAUUUCUGCCAGAGUGGUUUUAAGUAGAAAAAGGGGAGCGUGUGCUAGGAUGAUGUCCUGAUUGGACAUGUUAGCCAGUGUUAAGCCAAAUAAUGAAUUUUGAUUGCUGGACCUUGGUAUUUAGUCUCAGGAAUAGAUCAGUAGCCAAAUAAAGGAAUAGACGUUGGGGGCUAGCUUUAGGAAUGUAAUCUAAUGGUUUAGCAAGGGAGAGGGAGGGAGAGGGAAAAGGCAAAACCUACUAGCACCACCGUUUGCCAUGCUUGGGCCUGUUAGAGAGCCCUUCACUUAGAGUCAGCACGUCAUUAUAAUUGUAAAAUACAGAGUUGUAUCUCCCUGGGAAGCUAGCUGUCCUGUCCUCUUUCCGGGGGAGCUCAUCUUUAUUUUCCAAGUGUGGGCGAAAUCACAUGUUCAUGAGCUCAGGUUCCAUUUCUGCCCGGAUGCCUUUCUUUGGAUUUCAGAGUAUAUUAGGUACGAGGAUACCUCAGCUCAUAUAUGGUUCAAGAAAUUAAUUAUGCAUCACUCAAUAAUCUGCACUCCUUAAGUUAGGGGGCACUCCAGGUUUCAACACAGCGCUGUGUGUACGUGCAGUGGAUAACGAAAAUUAUCGCAGUUUCAAGGUCAGUCGGCCAGGUCAUUUUGUUGGAUUUGCAGGCACCUUAGCCCGAAGAAAACGGACAUGGAGGGGGAGGUGAUGAGCGAGACACCCCGAAAUAGCCCAAGUGCCUUGAGGAGGACGGAAUAGCUACGUUUAACGACGCUACGCAUAAACUACUCUCGUGGUGGAAUCUGUGGGUUAGUGAUGGUUCUCCACGAGAAAGACGAGGAAAUCCAAGGUGCUCUCUUUUCACGCCGUCUAUCUCAAUUGAGCUUGGAGUAGACGCAGUCUGGGCGCGGUGUAACGUCAUUCUUUUAAUUCCAGCACGGCUUGAAACUCAAACUAUCCGAUCUGAGUAAGAUAUAGAGAAUAGGGUGAGGAUCUCAAUUUACUUUUAAUUUAAUUUAAUCUGUGUUCCUUCCGGGUUUCGCCUUGACGACCCCUUCCCUUCUCCAUGUCUCAAACCUCGCGUCCUGGAAAACUUAAGAAUGUAGGUCCACCUGCUCAAACACUGUCCCAAAGCUGCACUUCCCGGCCUUCCUCUACUCUCUAACUCUAAAUUUUAUCUGGAUUUUUGUUUAGUAUCGGUUUCAAAUAUGUAAGUUUCUCAGCCCGCUUUCUCGAGUCAGUCUCUGUCCCUACUCUCACCACUCCCGGAAGUGCUCAGAGACAGAAGUAUAGCCAACUGUGGAGCCCGGCUCCGGGCGGGGACGGGUGGUUGCGGAUGAGCCAAUAAAAUAUUGAUCAAUUUUUAGUUUUUUCCUCUGAUACUCUGAUUUUCAAAAAAGUUCAGCCUUUUAAACUGUUCAAUUUACUGGUUUUUCGUGUACAUGUGUUACAACGCCGUCGUUGUUUCCUGACUUCAAAAUUAUCUUUCUCCAUCACCUGGCAACCGGUGAUACAUCCUAACUCUAGGUUUGGUGGUCUGGACAAUUCAUUUUAAUUACAACAUGCAGUACUGACUUCUUUUCCUCAACACAGUGUUUUCCACAUACCCUAUUGGGUGAUGUCUAUAGAUAGUCCUUUUCUGUUUGUAUGCUGUUCACUGACAUACAAGACAAAGAUAUAGUAAGAGUCAGAUUUUCAAGACUUAAUAUGUUUUUCUUACGGAUCUGAAUACAAGAAAGUUUCUCCUUUGUAUUAAAAAGAGACAUGGUCGAGCCAGCCAGGAGUCGAACCUAGAAUCUUCUGAUCCGUAGUCAGACGCGUUAUCCAUUGCGCCACUGGCCCGCCACAGGGAUGAAGUUCUACUCUAGUUAUUAUUAGCUGUAACCUUAAAUUAAUUAUAGCCCUAGUUUCAAGCUAAGUAAAUUCAACAAAUGUUUGAUUUGAACAAUUUAAACCACUUGUGUUACAGAAACUCGUCUUUUCACCUUGCAAUUUCCAUUACUAACACACGCAGUUGGUUCCUCUGACAUGAAACAACCCCUACUGCCAGCCCGUUGACAGAAUAAUAGAGUAAAACAAAAAUCCACUCUUUCCUCUUCUUCCUUCUUUCCCCACCUCUUUCUUUAAAUUUUUAUGUUUACAAAUAGUAUCGUUCUGUAGCCCUGACUGGCAGUUCUUCUGCCUCAGCCUCCUGGAGUUCUGGAAUUACAGGUGUGCAUCACAAAGUUAAGUAUUUUACGUUUUACGAUCUCAAUUCGUGCAGCAAUUUGAAAGCCCAGAGUGCAGUUGAAAAUUAAGCUGAGUCAGAAGUGGUGGCAAGCCUUUAGAUCCCAGCAUUCCGGAUUUACCUAGAGAGCUGUCUUUAAAAUAUAAAAGAAGUUCGACUGAAUACUACUUAAGUGUACAAUGUGAGCGAAAACACUUAAAAAAGUAAGAAGAGACAAAGGUUUUCUGGUGCACCUCGGGGUCAGCCUGUAUGCUGAAUGCCGCGCAGUGCUACUGUGUAGCGUCCAAACUGCUCAGUGUAUCCUCCCUUUAACUCAUUUCCACCUGCCUGGCAUAUCAGAUGAACUCUGGAAUUCUACUCCGUUUUUGUUCCCAACAGCUUUUUCCCCCCCUUUGGUUUUGGAUUUUUUGUUUCUUCUUUUAAAUACUACGGAACUGUAACUAUUUAAAGUAACCAUUUGCCCUUCCUCUGCUCGCUUUCCCUCCCCUCUUCUCCCCUUCCUUACCCAACCCCUCCUCUCCCUUUCCCUCCCCGCCUUCUUCUCUCCUCUUUUUCUUUCCUUUCGUUUUUGUUUUAUUUUGUUUUUCGAGAGUUUCUCUGUGUUGGCCCGGCUGUCUGGAAACUCGC
rnacentral:lncRNA from 1 species